rnacentral:tRNA from 1 species
AAGAUAUUAGUAAAAUAGAUCAUUACACCGCCUUGUCGAGGCCGAAUUGCGGGUUAGACUCCCGCGUAUCUUA